rnacentral:rRNA from 1 species
CCUACGGGAGGCUGCAGUGGGGAAUAUUGGACAAUGGGCGAAAGCCUGAUCCAGCCAUGCCGCGUGUGUGAAGAAGGCCUUCGGGUUGUAAAGCACUUUCAGUGGGGAAGAAAGCCUUGGGGCUAAUACCCUCGAUGAAGGACAUCACCCACAGAAGAAGCACCGGCUAACUCCGUGCCAGCAGCCGCGGUAAUACGGAGGGUGCGAGCGUUAAUCGGAAUUACUGGGCGUAAAGCGCGCGUAGGCGGUCUGAUAAGCCGGUUGUGAAAGCCCCGGGCUCAACCUGGGAACGGCAUCCGGAACUGUCAGGCUAGAGUGCAGGAGAGGAAGGUAGAAUUCCCGGUGUAGCGGUGAAAUGCGUAGAGAUCGGGAGGAAUACCAGUGGCGAAGGCGGCCUUCUGGACUGACACUGACGCUGAGGUGCGAAAGCGUGGGUAGCAAACAGGAUUAGAUACCCGGUAGUC